rnacentral:rRNA from 1 species
AAAAGGAAGCUUGUUCCCUUGACGUUAGGCGGGGGACCGGGUUAGUAACAACUUGGGCAAACCUAACCUAUUAGUUUGGAUAAUCCGGGAAAACGGGGGCUAAAUACGGAUUAUUCUUCUUUGCUUCCAUUGCAAGAAAACGGAAAGACGGCUUCUCGCUGUCGCUAUAGGAUGGGCCCGCGGGCGCAUUAGCUAGUUGGGUGAGGGUAACGGCUCACCAAGGCGACGAUGCGUAGCCGACCUGAGAGGGUGAUCGGCCACACUGGGACUGAGACACGGCCCAGACUCCUACGGGAGGCAGCAGUAGGGAAUCUUCCACAAUGGGCGAAAGCCUGAUGGAGCAACGCCGCGUGAGUGAAGAAGGUUUUCGGAUCGUAAAACUCUGUUGUAAGGGAAGAACAAGUAGCAGUAGUAACUGGCUGUACCUUGCACGGUA